rnacentral:rRNA from 1 species
UGAAUACGAGACGCUAAGGCGUCGAAGUAGUGUAUGUCAUACUUCCAAGAAAAGCUUGCACUGUCAUAGAUAAAAAACGCCUGUACCAUAACCGACACAGGUGGGUAGGUAGAGUAUACUAAGGGGCGCGAGAUAACUCUCUCUAAGGAACUCGGCAAAAUAACUCCGUAACUUCGGGAGAAGGAGUGCCUUAUUCGUAAGGUUGCAAUAACAAGAUCCAAGCAACUGUUUAUCAAAAACACAGGUCUCCGCUAAGUCGUAAGACGAUGUAUGGGGGCUGACGCCUGCCCAGUGCCAGAAGGUUAAAGAAGUUGGUUAGCAAUUGCGAAGCUGAUAACUGAAGCCCUGGUGAACGGCGGCCGUAACUAUAACGGUCCUAAGGUAGCGAAAUUCCUUGUCGGGUAAGUUCCGACCCGCACGAAAGGCGUAAUGAUUUGGAUACUGUCUCGGAGAGGGGCUCGGUGAAAUAGACUUGUCUGUGAAGAUGCGGACUACCUGCACCAGGACAGAAAGACCCUAUGAAGCUUUACUGUAACUUGAAAUUGAAAUUGGACUUUAUUCGCGCAGUAUAGGUGGGAGGCGUUGAUUAUAAUCUUGUGGGAUUAUUGGAGCCAUCAGUGAGAUACCACUCUUGUAAUGUUAGAUUUCUAACUUUGAAUCAUUAUCUGGUCAAAGAACAGUUUCAGGCGGGCAGUUUGACUGGGGCGGUCGCCUCCUAAACGGUAACGGAGGCGUACAAAGGUUUCCUCUGAACGGUUAGAAAUCGUAUCUAGAGUGUAAAGGCAUAAGGAAGCUUGACUGUGAGACCUACAAGUCGAGCAGGGACGAAAGUCGGUCUUAGUGAUCUGACGGUACUGAGUGGAAAGGCCGUCACUCAACGGAUAAAAGUACUCUAAGGAUAACAGGCUGAUCUCCCCCAAGAGUUCACAUCGACGGGGAGGUUUGGCACCUCGAUGUCGGCUCAUCGCAUCCUGGGGCGGUAGUACGUCCCAAGGGUUGGGCUGUUCGCCCAUGAAAGCGGUACGCGAGCUGGGUUCAGAACGUCGUGAGACAGUUCGGUCCAUAUCCGGUGUAGGCGUUAGAAUAUUGAGAGGAGCCUUCUUUAGUACGAGAGGACCGAGAAGGACAUACCUCUGGUGUACCAGUUAUCGUGCCAACGGUAAACGCUGGGUAGCUAUGUAUGGAGUGGAUAACCGCUGAAAGCAUCUAAGUGGGAAGCCCACCUCAAGAUAAGUAUUCUCUU